ACUUUCUACAGAAUCUGGUGAUUUUUUAUUGGAACACUGAAAGGCCUAUACUUUUAAUAUGUAAACUUCUUGCUGAUACUUGUCACUCCCUCAUCCACGUAUAUACAUCUUUAUUUAUCUUUCAAUCACUUGCAGUUUUAAUUUCUUCGAGAGUUUAUGGUGCUGAGUCGCUUCUUUGGCAUUCCCUUUUGUUAAGACGAGAUAAUAUCUGCAACAAAUGGAAUAAGGAGCUGGCCUUCGCUAGAGACAGCCUGCUGAAUCAUAAGGGCCUCCUGCGAUAUAUAUAUAUAUAUAUAUAUAUAUUAGAUCUGCUGAAGUUGAGCAUUCUUCGCUUGUUCUUUGGUGUGUUUCUAAGCUUUAAUCGCUAUCAGAAUUGUUUAUGAUCCUAUCAAAUAUAUGUAAGAUUUACUUCUGGCUAUGGUUUUCUGCAGGUAAGACGGUUCGAAACAUGUUUUCAUAGAGAAGUUAUUGUGAAGUGAUAUGGCUAACCAUCGAAGUUUAAUUUGUUAGCUCGUAAUUAUUGUGCAAUACUUGUGCUCUAUUUCAGCCAAUUACUAGAGGGAUUCUGUAGUUUAGUUAAACUUUCCUCUCAUACUUGUUAUGUUCUAAGGAUUAGUUGGCUCUAAUUUAUUGUUGUAUGUAUUUUGAGUUCGGUAUGAACAAUGAAGGUGUUAGAUAGUUGUGUUGUAUUGCCUUUGAAAACUUUGAUCAUUUAAUAUAACUAUGUUUUGCGCGGGUGAAUUCAUAAUAUAGUUGAACGGAGAGUGCGAAAGGAAAAUGAUGCUUCAACUUUUAACUAUAUUAAUAUUUCUUUAAUUUUUCUCUUUUUCCAUGAUGGUGGUGUCCAGUUCAGUUUGCAUGCACCUCGAUUAGCUCACUGGUUGCUUUACUAUCUCCCGCCAGAACAGGUACGUAGUAACUCUACUCAUCAAGACUUGAUCAGAUAGGAAGAAAUCACGUCAUAUUUUGUUACAUACAAACAACAACAACAACCCAUUGAAAUCCCACAAGUGGGGUAUGAGGAGGGUAGUGAGUACGCAGAUAUGAGGAGGGUAGUGAGUACGCAGACCUUACCCCUAUCCUAAGAGAAUAGAGAGGCUAUAUCCGAAAGACCUUUGGCUCAAGUGGACGAAAAGAGACAAAUACAUCAAUACCAUUAAUAGAAAACAUAGAAUAAUAACAACGACAUAAGAACCAGAAAAUCGAUAAAAAGCAAUAACAAUAAC
rnacentral:lncRNA from 1 species